GUCGGCUAACACCUUCCUGUUGUUCCAGGGAGACCCAUAUAGACAUAUGGCCUGCAGAAUUGUAGACACAGCAUCAUCUCUACCCAUAAAAGAUGGCAUUCUGCAAGACUGAGAAGAUGCCCACCUCCAUUCCCAGAGUCCAGGCCUUCAUUAACUCACACGAGAACUACAGAAGCAUCACCCCUAGUUCUCCUAUUAGUCACUCCUCCUCAACUGCCUCUAAUCCAUCCAUCCAUCUAUCCGGCAUGGGUCAUGUAAAGUUACAGCUGAGAAGGGCUGGAUACAGUGAACUGGAGGAAUAGCGGGGAGAAUUGCCAAUACUCAGGAGUCAGGCUUCACAUUGAUCAUGCAGCUAAUAAGAAAGAAGGCAAAGGUACCAAGCCCCUUGCCAUAUGAGAGCUUCCAGCAACUUUGGCAGAAGAUAGAAAGGAAAAUACUACUACUAUUUAGAAACUGCACUGAUAUUUCUUGACUUCUCCUGAAUCGAC
rnacentral:lncRNA from 10 species